rnacentral:rRNA from 1 species
AGAGUUUGAUCAUGGCUCAGAUUGAACGCUGGCGGCAGGCUUAACACAUGCAAGUCGAACGGAACCUUCGGGUUUAGUGGCGAACGGGUGAGUAAUACCUAGGAAUCUGCCUAUUAGUGGGGGGUAACGGCUCGAAAGAGUCGCUAAUACCGCAUACGUCCUACGGGAGAAAGAGGGGGAUCUUCGGACCUCUUGCUAAUAGAUGAGCCUAGGCCGGAUUAGCUAGUUGGUAGGGUAAAGGCCUACCAAGGCGACGAUCCGUAGCUGGUCUGAGAGGAUGAUCAGCCACACUGGAACUGAGACACGGUCCAGACUCCUACGGGAGGCAGCAGUGGGGAAUAUUGGACAAUGGGCGCAAGCCUGAUCCAGCCAUGCCGCGUGUGUGAAGAAGGCCUUCGGGUUGUAAGGCACUUUAAGCGAGGAGGAAGGUCUUUGAACUAAUAUUUCAAAGAAUUGACGUUACUCGCAGAAUAAGCACCGGCUAACUCUGUGCCAGCAGCCGCGGUAAUACAGAGGGUGCAAGCGUUAAUCGGAAUUACUGGGCGUAAAGCGCGCGUAGGCGGUAUGUUAAGUCGGAUGUGAAAUCCCUGGGCUCAACCUAGGCAUUGCAUCCGAUACUGGCACACUAGAGUGUGGGAGAGGAAGGUAGAAUUCCAGGUGUAGCGGUGAAAUGCGUAGAGAUCUGGAGGAAUACCGAUGGCGAAGGCAGCCUUCUGGCCUAACACUGACGCUGAGGUGCGAAAGCAUGGGGAGCAAACAGGAUUAGAUACCCUGGUAGUCCAUGCCGUAAACGAUGUCAACUAGCCGUUGGGCUCCUUGAGGGCUUAGUGGCGCAGCUAACGCGAUAAGUUGACCGCCUGGGGAGUACGGUCGCAAGACUAAAACUCAAAUGAAUUGACGGGGGCCCGCACAAGCGGUGGAGCAUGUGGUUUAAUUCGAUGCAACGCGAAGAACCUUACCUGGCCUUGACAUGUCUGGAAUCCUGCAGAGAUGCGGGAGUGCCUUCGGGAAUCAGAACACAGGUGCUGCAUGGCUGUCGUCAGCUCGUGUCGUGAGAUGUUGGGUUAAGUCCCGCAACGAGCGCAACCCUUUUCUUACUUGCCAGCACUUCGGGUGGGAACUUUAAAGAUACUGCCGGUGACAAACCGGAGGAAGGCGGGGACGACGUCAAGUCAUCAUGGCCCUUACGGCCAGGGCUACACACGUGCUACAAUGGUCGGUACAAAGGGUUGCUACCCCGCGAGGGCAU